CGUAGUGGGAACACUUGGAUGAGUAACCAAGGCUGGCAGAGGUGAACACGCUCCCUAGGCUGCCCCAGAAACUCAUGAGGGUUUCCAGAUGGGAUCUUCUCUGAGUUCCUCCCGUGGAUCAGAGACUGAAACUGAGGCCUGAGACACGGAGACCGCUGCAAGGAGCUGUGCCCCGCGUGGUCCAAGUGUGGGAAAGGACAUGAGCUGUGCCCCGCGUGGUCCAGGUGUGGGAAGGGCUUUCUGCCCACCACUCGAUUGCUCAAGAAUUGGGAGUCAAGGUUAACAAUGGAUCAGCGGAACCUUAUACAAUUAAAAGAAAAACAAUCACAUGAAGAAGAAGCCCACAGAUAGGAGAGAAUCUCUGACUAAUACAUCUGGCGAGGAUUGAUAUCCCCAAAGUAUAAAGAACUAAAAAAAAAUAUCAAAAACACCAAAACAAACAAACAACCCUCCCCAAACCAACCCAUUCAGAAGACAGGAUACACAGACCUGAUAGAGUUCUUAAAAGAAGUAAGAAAAGUGGCUGAAAAAUCAGUUUCUAGAACCAUCAAAAGCUAAAAAUAAAUCUACCAUAUGGCCCAGAUCUACCCUUCUUGGCAUAUGCCCAAAGGGCUCG